AGUGUUUCUGCAGCGCAUGGGCUUCAUAUUUUCAGACCGGAGGUUGCCAUUUGGUAAGACCACAUGAGUCGCCCUCUGCUGGACAAAAACCAGAGGCUACACCCCACCUCACAUAAAAAAGGAGGACAAAACUGCUCCUAAGGAGAGCUGGCAAAGUCUUGAGGAUCAUGACUCUUUGAUUGUGAUGAAUGACUGCAGCAUGUGAUAUAUCAGAGAGGAGUUUUAAUCACGCCAUGCUGUAAAAGUUAACCCCCCGGCUGAGAUGCUCCAGGGUGGUCAGUGUGUGGACGUGAGCGUCAGGCUGACAGGAAGGCAAUAAUCGCCCGCAAUCAAAGGCUCUCUUUAUGAGGCCUCUCUCUGCAGACACUCUGGAGGU